rnacentral:rRNA from 1 species
UCUCAAAUCAGGUAGGACUACCCGCUGAACUUAAGCAUAUCAAUAAGCGGAGGAAAAGAAACUAACAAGGAUUCCCCUAGUGACUGCGAGUGAAGCGGGAAGAGCUCAAAUUUAAAAUCUGGCGUGCCUCUGGCCGUCCGAGUUGUAGUCUGGAGAAGCGUUUUCCGCGUUGGACCGUGUAUAAGUCCCUUGGAACAGGGCGUCACAGAGGGUGAGAAUCCCGUCUUUGACACGGACUGCCAAUGCUUUGUGAUGCGCUCUCAAAGAGUCGAGUUGUUUGGGAAUGCAGCUCAAAAUGGGUGGUAAAUUCCAUCUAAAGCUAAAUAUAGGCGAGAGACCGAUAGCGAACAAGUACCGUGAGGGAAAGAUGAAAAGCACUUUGGAAAGAGAGUUAAACAGUACGUGAAAUUGCUGAAAGGGAAACGCUUGAAGUCAGUCACGUUGCCAGGACUCAGCCUGGCUUCUGCUUGGUGUACUUUCUGGUUUGAUGGGCCAACAUCAAUUUUGACCGUUGGAAAAAGGCAUUGGGAAUGUGGCACCUUCGGGUGUGUUAUAGCCCUUUGUUGUAUACGACGGUUGGGAUUGAGGACCGCAGCACGCCUUUAUGGCCGGGGUUCGCCCACGUACGUGCUUAGGAUGU